rnacentral:rRNA from 1 species
GACGAACGCUGGCGGCGCGCCUAACACAUGCAAGUCGAACGGAGACAAGAGGAGCUUGCUUUUCUUGACUUAGUGGCGAACGGGUGAGUAACGCGAGAGUAACCUGCUCUGGAGUGGGGGACAACAGUUGGAAACGACUGCUAAUACCGUAUAAGCUCACGCAUCCGCGUGGAUCUGCGGGAAAAGGGUUUAUUCGGUUCAGGCUGGACUCGCGUCCAAUUAGCGAGUUGGUGAGGUAACGGCCCGCCAAGGCGACGAUUGGUAGCCGGGCUGGGAGGUUGACCCGCCACAUUGGGACUGCGGCACGGCCCAGAAUGGUACGGGAGGCAGCAGUGGGGGAUAUUGCACGAUGGGGGAUACCCUGAUGCCGCGGCGCCGCGUGGAGGAAGCAGGUUUUCGGAUUGUACACUCCUGUCGUUCGGGACGAUAAUGACGGUACCUAAUAAGAAAGCACCGGCUAACUACGUG